UUAUUUUAAUAUAACCUUUUAUUAUUUUAUUUUUCAAUUUUAUUUGGAUUUUUUUACAAAUUGUAAGACAAAAAUGGAAUUUCAAUCAUUUCAUUUAUCUUCUUUCUUAUUUUUAAGAUAUUCUUAUUUUAAAAAGAAAAUAAUGAAGCAAAAAGUGGAAAUUUUAUCCUUUUAAUAAAAAAAAAUUAUACAGUACAGAACGAAAGAAUACUACUCAAUCGUUAAUUAACAACCCUAAAAAAUAAAAAAAAAUCCUUUUUCUUUAUUUUAAAGUCUAGGUAAGUACAAUACUACUUACAAAAUACUCCUAAUUGAAAAGAAAAUUAAGGAGCAAUAAACCCUCUUGAUAGAACAAGAAAAAGUUUAUUGCUCCUUAAUAUUGAUAU
rnacentral:misc_RNA from 1 species